rnacentral:rRNA from 1 species
GACGAACGCUGGCGGCGUGCUUAACACAUGCAAGUCGAACGGAAAGGCCCUGCUUGCCGGGUACUCGAGUAGCGAACGGGUGAGUAACACGUGGGUGAUCUGCCCUGCACUUCGGGAUAAGCCUGGGAAACUGGGUCUAAUACCGGAUAGGAGCCAUUUUUAGUGUGAUGGUUGGAAAGUUUUUUCGGUGUAGGAUGAGCUCGCGGCCUAUCAGCUUGUUGGUGGGGUAAUGGCCUACCAAGGCGGCGACGGGUAGCCGGCCUGAGAGGGUGGACGGCCACAUUGGGACUGAGAUACGGCCCAGACUCCUACGGGAGGCAGCAGUGGGGAAUAUUGCACAAUGGGCGCAAGCCUGAUGCAGCGACGCCGCGUGGGGGAUGACGGCCUUCGGGUUGUAAACUCCUUUCGCUAGGGACGAAGCUUUUUGUGACGGUACCUAGAGAAGAAGCACCGGCUAACUACGUG